AAUCCCUUCGGGGGUCUGGCUUGCCAGGUGGUAAUUACUUACCUGCUAGCUAUAUGAUUCUUCCACAGUGACACUUAUAGAAGCCUAUGCGCCCCUGCAAAGGGGUUCUGCCGCGACUGAAAAUAAUGGUAAAAAUGCAAGUCAGCUUUCGAGCUGGCAACACAAUCGAAAUGCGGGGAUCUCCUAAAGCUCGGUGGUACCAACUGGCAGUGGAAACGCUCCCAGGGCCCGUGUUAACUACACGGGGUACGGUAAAAAUCCAUCGAGAUUUUGCAAUGGACAAUCCGCAGCAGAGCCCCUAACGGCCCACCAGUGGUGCCUACGGGGAGUGUUCACAGACUAAGUGAUUGUGGGUCAUGCGUAAGGUAUGGUCUAAGAUAUAGUCGGGCCCCUUCUGAAAUGUUGGGGGUUAAGUUAUUACGAUUGCCGGACACAUAAUGGGGUAUUACUUUAUAACUAUAUAUAUUAAUAUUCUCCAAGGUCGUUCACACUGGACAGACCUCUGAUCUUUGUCAGGCUAUGUAACUAAAACUAAAAACCGUUCCGUAGGUGAACCUGCGGAAGGAUCAUUACAGAGCUCAUGCCCGAAAGGGUAGACCUCCCACCCUUUGUGUAUUUUAUACUUUGUUGCUUUGGCGGUGCGGCUGCAAGGCCACCGGCUCCGGCUGGUGUGUGCCCGCCAGAGGACCCCCAAACUCUGAAUGUUAGUAUCGUCCGAGUAUUCUAUAAUAGUUAAAACUUUCAACAACGGAUCUCUUGGUUCUGGCAUCGAUGAAGAACGCAGCGAAAUGCGAUAAGUAAUGUGAAUUGCAGAAUUCAGUGAAUCAUCGAAUCUUUGAACGCACAUUGCGCCCCUUGGUAUUCCGGGGGGCAUGCCUGCUCGAGCGUCAUUUCAACCCCUCAAGCUCUGCUUGGUGUUGGGCCCUGCUGGCAACGGCAGGCCUUAAAGACAGUGGCGGUGCCCUGAGGCCCUGAGCGUAGUACAUCUCUCGCUACAGGUUCCUGAGGGUUCACUGGCCAGCAACCC
rnacentral:misc_RNA from 1 species